rnacentral:lncRNA from 1 species
AUGGUAGUUGGCAAGAACAAGCACUUUAUGAAAGGUGGCAAAAGCAAGCCAAGAAGAAAGUGGUUGAUCCAUUUUCUAAGAAAGAUUGGUAUGAUGUGAAAGCACCUGCUAUGUUCAGUAUAAUAACUAUGGGAAAGACACUCAUCGCCAGGACUCAAGGAAUCAAAAUUGCAUCUGAUGGCCUCAAGGGUCAUGUGUUUGAAGUGAGUUUGUCUGAUGUGCAGAAUGAUGAAGUUGCAUUUAGAAAAUUCAAGCUGAUACUGAAGAUGUUCAGGGCAAAAAUGCCUGAUUAAUUUCCAUGGCAUGGAUCUUAUCUGUGACAAAAUGUGUUCCAUGGCUAAAAAAUAGCAGACCAUGAUUUAAGUUCACAUUGAUGUCAAGACUAUCAAUGAUUAUUUACUUUGUCUGUUUUGUGUUGAUUUUACUAAAAAAUGCAACAAUUACACAUGGAAGACUUCUUACAAUUGACACUAACAGGUCUGCCAAAUCCAGAAGAAGAUGAUGGAAAUCAUGACCCAAGAGGUGCAGACAAAUGACUUGAAAGAAGUGGUCAAUAAAUUGAUUCCAGACAGCACUGGAAAAGACAUAGAAAAGGCUUGCCUAUCUGUUUAUCCUCUCCAUGGUGUCUUCAUUAGGAAAGUAAAAAUAAAGAAGCCCAAGUUUGAAUUGGGAAAACUCAUGUAGCUUCAUGGUGAAGGUAGUAGUUUUGAAAAAGCUACCAAGGAUGAGAAAGGUGCUAAAAUUGAAUGAGCUGAUGGAUAUGAACCAUCGGUCCACGAAUCUGUUUAA